rnacentral:rRNA from 1 species
GACGAACGCUGGCGGCGUGCUUAACACAUGCAAGUCGAACGAUGAAGAAAAGAAUUGAAGCUUCGGCAGAAAUUCAUUUCGGAUUAGUGGCAGACGGGUGAGUAACGCGUGAGCAACCUACCUCUUACAAAGGGAUAGCCUCGGGAAACCGGGAUUAAUACCAUAUAACAUUGCGACGAAGCAUUUCGAUGCAAUCAAAGCUACGGCGGUAAGAGAUGGGCUCGCGUCCCAUUAACCAGAUGGUGAGGUAACGGCUCACCAUAGUGACGAUGGGUAACCGGCCUGAGAGGGUGAACGGUCACACUGGAACUGAGACACGGUCCAGACUCCUACGGGAGGCAGCAGUGGGGAAUAUUGCACAAUGGAGGGAACUCUGAUGCAGCGACGCCGCGUGAGUGAUGAAGGAAUUCGUUUCGUAAAACUCUGUUCUAUGGGAAGAAAAGGACUGUACCAUAGGAGAAAGCUCCGGCUAAAUACGUG